GGAUGAUGUUCCUGCUCCUUUGGUGUGCUGGGGGGUUCCAGGAUGACACUCCAGCCCAUCCAGCCGCUCCUGCCCAUCCCAAACAUUUCUUUCCCUCUCGUUCCCCCUCUGUCCCGGUUCCCCUCCGCAGGCUGCCCGGGCCAUGGAGAAGUUCGGGAUGAGCUUCGGGGGCGGCCCCAGCAGGAAGGACCUGCUGGACACCAUCGAGGCGCAGAAGCAGCAGCUGCUGCGGUACCAGGCGCGGCUCAAGGACAUGGUGCUGGCCUACAAGAGCCUGCUCAAGGAGAAGGAGGCGCUGGAGGCCAGCCUGAAGGUGCUCUCCGUGUCCCACGAGGGCCAUCUCCCGGCGCCCGGCCCCGGGGAGCCCCCGGAUGACCAGAGCUCCGAGCACAGCGAGGACAGCGCGGGCACGGCCGCCAGCGCCGACACGGCGGCCAGCAGGGCCAGCAGGGACACUGCGGCCAGCGGGGCCAGCAGGGACACGGCGGCCAGCGGGACCAGUGUGAGCAGCACCACGGGGGACGGCACGGCCGGCGCGAGCGGCAGCACCGUGGACGCCGCGGGCGGCGUGAGCUGCGCCGGGGCGGACGCGGGGCCCAAGGAGGACAGACCCGCGGCCCACAGAGCCGAGGAGCCUCCCGGCCCCGAGGGGGACCUCGGCGAGUCCGAGCGGAGGCUCCUGCAGCUGAAGGCCCAGCUGGCCACCCUGACGGGCGCCCUGGCCACGGUGACGCAGGAGAAGUCGCGCAUGGAGGCCUCGUACCAGGCGGACAAGCGGCAGAUGCGGCAGGAGCUGGAGGAGGCGGCGCGGCGGGCGCGGGCCGAGGCGGAGCGGCUGGCGCUGGAGCUGGGGGGGCUGCGGGAGCAGCUGGCCGAGACCAAGGCCCGGCUGAUCACGCAGCAGCACGAGCGGGCGCGCGAGCAGGGCGACCACGCCGAGAUGCUGCGGGAGCUGCAGGAGCUGCUGCGCGCGGAGCGGGAGCUGCGCCGGGACGCGGAGCUGCGGCUGGAGCAGGGCCGGGACGCGCCCGCCGGCAGGGCCGGGGCGCCCGAGCGGGCGCAGGGGCACGAGCAGCACGUGCGGCAGCUGAGCCAGGAGCUGGAGGAGCUCAAGAGGGAGCUGCAGGGGGUGCGGGAGGAGAACAGCAAGGCCGACCCCUGCAUCCAGCAGCUCCAGGAGGAGAUGGCCGGGCUCAAGAACCACUUCCAGGUGCAGCUGGUGCAGGAGAUGAAGAAGACCGCCCAGGCCGAGGAGCAGCUCCGGCACCGCGCGCAGAUGGAGGAGCGGCGCGUGGCCGACCUGGAGGCUCAGGUGUCCCAGGCGUCCGAGCUGCUGGGCACCUACGAGAAGGCCAAGCAGAAGGACCAGCAGGUCAUCCAGAAGCUCAAGGACCGCAUCGUGCAGCUGGACCUGGAGAACAAGACCUUGGCCAUCGCCGCCUCCAGCCGGGCCCCGGGGGACAUCCACGGCGAGGAGGCCAACCUGGACGUGAACGUGCUCAAGGACAAGAUGGAGAAGCUGAAGAAGCUCCUGCAGGCGGCCACCGGGAAGAGCCAGGCGGACGUGGAGGAGCCCUGCGAGCCGGAGCUGCCCAGGGGCUCCGGGGACGGCGAGAAGGCCACGGCCGGGUACUACCAGCAGGAGCUGAGGCAGCUGAAGGAGGAGUUCGAGCGCUACAAGGUGAGGGCCCAGCUGGUCCUGAAGAACAAGUCCAGCAAGGACAUCAACCUGGCCAAGGAGCUGGAGGAGGCCCAGGAGCAGCUGGGGGAGCUCAAGGAGAAGUACGUGGCGCUCCAGCUGGCCUCGGACGACGCGGAGCGGUGGCACCGGCAGGACGUGGAGGCCAAGAGGCAGGAGCUGUCCCAGCUGCAGCAGCGGCACCGGCAGGAGCUGGAGAGGUGCCAGCUGGAGUACCGGGAGCGGGCGCUGCGCCUGGAGGAGGAGAUGCACAAGCAGCGGGACCGGGCGCUGGCCGUGCUGGCCGAGAAGGACCAGGAGCUGGAGCGCCUGCGGGCCCUGGCGCUGCCCCACGCGCCGCCCCCCGCGCUCCAGGCCUCCCAGAGCUCCCCGGACGGCCCCUGCGGCGACUCCCCCGGCCUCGGCUCCUCCGAGGUUCUCCCCCAGGGCCUGCCCCUGCCCUCGGGCUCCGAGCCCACGCUGUUCCUGUACGCGGAGCAGCUGGCGCGCAAGGAGGUGGAGGUGGCGGCGCUGCGCAAGCAGCGGCACGGCCUGGAGGGGCAGCUGCACCGGCUGCGGGAGAAGGCCCUGGCCGAGCAGGAGAGGCACCGCGAGGAGGUGGCGGCGCUGCAGGGCGAGAUCCAGAAGAACUUCCGGGACAGGAGCAGGGAAGGAGCCAACCUGGAGUACCUGAAGAACGUGGUGUACCGGUUCCUGACGCUGCCCGACGCGCGGGGCCGGCAGCAGACGCUCUCGGCCAUCCUCACCAUCCUGCACUUCAGCCCCGAGGAGAAGGAGGACGUCGCCAGGCACUCGGCCCAGGGCAGCUGGUGGCUCCACGGGAAGAGAUGAGGGGGCAGCUCUUACUCCCUUGUCCGUAAGAACGUCCUGGUGAUCGACCAAAACCACUUUGCUCGUGGUGAAACCUCCUCCCGACCGUGCCCGGAGCUCCCGGUCACAAUUUGGGCUCGAACCAGUGUUUUUAGCACCAAUUUGCAGUGGAAUUGUGCCAACUCUUCCAGCCCUGGUGUGGGAAUUUGCUCUGAGUUGGGACUUGGUUUAAAACCCCUGGAAUUGAGGAUCCUGAUGCUUUUUUAAAGAGGGUUUUAAGAUGAUUCCAACCUGUCAGGCGUGGGUUAGGGUGGAACUCACUUGGAUCUUCAAACUCCAGCCGGGCUCGUGACUCAGAAGAUUAAAAGGAGGGCGGGAAGCACUUUAGAAGGAGCUAAAAUAGCACCAGACCAUGAGAGGCUCAAGAGGAGGAGGUUUAAUGCAGAAAAUCUUGAGCGUUUUCUCCAACGUUUCUUCUCCAGAACCAAUUUAACAGUGGAUGCAGCCCCAGGCCCCUCCCAGGGCUCAGGUGUGCUCUCCUUCCUGCCCAGGGAUCCUCGGGAAUUCUCAGUGAUUCCAGGAUGGAGAAAGGAUCUCCUGGAUGUUGAAGUGGUGGCACCACUGUGGUGGUGCCAGGGAUGAUUCCCCACCCCAAGGUGCCAAGCAGGAAUUGGAGCUGCCUGGCCCCGUUUGGGAGCAGGAAGCAGAGGAAAGGCUGGAAUGGGUGCCCUGCUCCUCGUUUUUGGGAGUUCCAGGGAAGUUUUGCUGCUGUGCAGUGCUGGUUUUGGAAGGAAGGCCCCGUUCCUGCUGGGAUGGAGCAGUGGGGGGCAGGGGGUGGCAGGUCCGGGCAGUGCCUGCAGGGACCUGGAGAUUCUUCCCUAGUUUCCAUGGGAACUGGUGAAAGAAGGAAGCCAGGACAUCCUGAAACCCGCUCCCUGAGCCCCAGGAGGGAUGUUUUGCUGGUGGGCCUGGAACAGGCUCUUCCCAGCUCUGCUCAGCUGGAGCUCCCAAACUUUCCCAUCUGCGCAGGCCAAACGUCCCCGUGGUGUUGUUUUCCUGCCCCUUGUUUGGGGUUAAACCUUGGCUACCAAAGCUCAGCUUCCCCGGCCCAGAGUACAGGGAUGAGUCUGGAUUAACACCCCCGGGUGGGCCUGGAGUUAAAAGCAGGUUGGGGGAGCAGCUCCUGGUGCUGCCCUGCCCGGGGGGGCCUUGGGAAGGGCAGCAAACUCCAGUUCCAUGGCAGGAUCCUGCCCUGCCCUUGGGGCUGGAGCCCUGGGAGCUGCAGGAGCAGCAGUGUGGAGGAGGGAUGUGCUGUGUCCCCUCACAGCUCAGGGAAGGGCCCGGAUGUUCCCUGUCCCUGGGCUGGGAAAGGAGGGGGUGCCAUGCCCCCAGGGGGACAGACUGGGGGUCUCCCAUGUCCCCAGCCCAUCCCAGGGGACCCACCAGUGGCCUGGGACAGGGAUCCUGGGGUGCUGCAGCCACCCUGGCACUUCCUGGGGGAGGGACCCUGGGGUGCAACAUCCCUCCUUGCCUCCUUGGCUGUCCUGGUCCUGCCAGCAGCCAAAUCCCCUGGAUUCCCAGUAACUCAGCCCCAAUUUCUCCUCAAAAGAGUCCUCAGGGAAAACGUGCCCUGGGCAGAACCUGUCCCUGCUGGGAGGGAUCCAGGUGCUGCUGGGAUGGAGGGAACUGGAUGGGAAAGGGACAGUUUGUCCCAGGAGUGUUUGGAACGCUUCCCAAGGGUGCAAGUGUUGGCUCAGCCAGGGAAGAGCCUGGACCCUGCUCCCAGUUUGGAAAGUUUGAAUUAAGUGGUGCCUCUGGAAUAACAGGGAUGGCUCCAGCUCUCACCCUGGAGCCAUUCCCACAACACCAGAGGGAGAUGGUGCCUCCUGCUUCAGCUUUGCUGCUCAGGCUGAGGGGAUGAUCCCUGUUCUCCCUCUGCCUCGUGCUCUCCUGGAGGAUGAAGAGACCUGGAAUGGAUCCCAGGUGUGGUGGGGAUCAAUGUGGGAUCCAGCUGGGAGACAGGGAUCAGUGUGGGGUCCCAGAUGGGAGCGGGGGAACAAGGUGGGAUCCAGUUGGGAGCACAGAGAUCCACUGCCCAGGGAUCCCCUGAUCCCUCCGUACCUGAUGGAGGAGAACAAGGAAGCAGCUGCCCAGGAGCACAUCCAGGAGCUGCCAAACGAGUCCCCUGUGUCACUGUCACCCUCCUCAGCUCUCCUGCUGCAAUUCUUCCCCUGCUCCCUCCCGCCCCUCUCCCUCCUCCUCCUCCUCCUCCUCCUCCUCCCUCCCUCAGACCUUCCCUCCCAUCCCUCCCUCCCUCCCUCUUCCCUCUCUUCCUUCAGCCAAUAUCCCUGAAAUAAAGGUAAAUCCCUGUUUGAGGCAGGACUCUGGUGGUGUUGGGCCGGGCAGUGCUUGGAGAUCAGAACAUCCUUGGGUUUAAAAUUCUAACAAAACUAAUAAAUGCCUUCAUUUCCCGA